rnacentral:rRNA from 1 species
GGACGAACGCUGGCGGCGUGCUUAACACAUGCAAGUCGAACGGAAAGGCCCUGCUUUUGUGGGGUGCUCGAGUGGCGAACGGGUGAGUAACACGUGAGUAACCUGCCCUUGACUUUGGGAUAACUUCAGGAAACUGGGGCUAAUACCGGAUAGGAGCUCCUGCUGCAUGGUGGGGGUUGGAAAGUUUCGGCGGUUGGGGAUGGACUCGCGGCUUAUCAGCUUGUUGGUGGGGUAGUGGCUUACCAAGGCUUUGACGGGUAGCCGGCCUGAGAGGGUGACCGGCCACAUUGGGACUGAGAUACGGCCCAGACUCCUACGGGAGGCAGCAGUGGGGAAUAUUGCACAAUGGGCGGAAGCCUGAUGCAGCAACGCCGCGUGCGGGAUGACGGCCUUCGGGUUGUAAACCGCUUUCGCCUGUGACGAAGCGUGAGUGACGGUAAUGUGUAAAGAAGCACCGGCUAACUACGUG